UACGAAGGGGGCUAGCGUUGCUCGGAAUUACUGGGCGUAAAGCGCACGUAGGCGGCUUUCUAAGUCGGGGUGUGAAAGCCCCGGGCUCAACCUGGGAAUUGCAUUCGAGACUGAAUAGCUAGGGUACGGUAGAGGGAAGCGGAAUUUCCGGUGUAGCGGUGAAAUGCGUAGAUAUCGGAAGGAACAUCAGUGGCGAAAGCGGCUUCCUGGACCAGUACC
rnacentral:rRNA from 1 species